rnacentral:pre_miRNA from 1 species
AGUGGGAUAGCUGGGUCAAAUGGUCAUUCCAUUUCAAGUUUUUCAAGGAAUCUCCAUACUACUUUCUGGAUUGGUUGCACCAAAUUGCAGUCCCACCAGCAAU